rnacentral:rRNA from 1 species
CCUACGGGGGGCAGCAGUAGGGAAUAUUGCUCAAUGGGGGAAACCCUGAAGCAGCAACGCCGCGUGGAGGAUGACGGUUUUCGGAUUGUAAACUCCUUUUGUUAGAGAAGAUAAUGUCGGUAUCUAACGAAUAAGCACCGGCCAACUCCGUGCCAGCAGCUGCGGGAAUACGGAGGGUGCAAGCGUUACUCGGAUUCACUGGGCGUAAAGAGCGAGUAGGCGGGAUAGCAAGUCAGAUGUGAAAUCCUAUGGCUUAACCAUAGAACUGCAUUUGAAACUGUUAUUCUAGAGUAUGGGAGAGGUAGGUGGAAUUCUUGGUGUAGGGGUAAAAUCCGUAGAGAUCAAGAGGAAUACUCAUUGCGAAGGCGACCUGCUAGAACAUAACUGACGCUGAUGCGCGAAAGCGUGGGGAGCAAACAGGAUUAGAUACCCUUGUAGUC